rnacentral:rRNA from 1 species
UACGUAGGUGGCAAGCGUUGUCCGGAUUUACUGGGCGUAAAGAGCGCGCAGGCGGUCGUUCAAGUCGCGUGUGAAAGCCCUCGGCUCAACUGGGGAGGGUCACGCGAUACUGAUCGACUCGAAGGCAGGAGAGGGAAGUGGAAUUCCCGGUGUAGUGGUGAAAUGCGUAGAUAUCGGGAGGAACACCAGUGGCGAAGGCGACUUCCUGGCCUGUUCUUGACGCUGAGGCGCGAAAGCUAGGGGAGCAAACGGGAUUAAGA